rnacentral:lncRNA from 1 species
AUAUCAAUUUCAUUUGAAAAAGAUAUUGUUUAUGAGUAAUAAAUAUUUCGACAAAGUGUGGUCGGCUUUGUAAUUUUUUUUUUUUUUUGAGAGAUAGGUAGCACGCUACCCGCUUUAUUUAUUUUAGUUAGAAAUAAACUUAACUGGAAAUGUGAAUCAACUAGAAUUCGAACUUAGGUUUCGAAUACCAAUUAACCACCAAAUCUUUUUUCCACUUGCUCUAGGGACGGUCGGCUUUGUAACUUAUUCUGUGCAAUAUCGGAAUCACAGAGAGGCUUCUGCCCCCAUGGUAAAAUGCAGUCACUAAUAUUCAUGGCAUUAGGUGUCCACCCAAAAGCAUGGAAAUCUUUCCUCGAGUGACCCAU